GUCGGCGUGCUUAACACAUGCAAGUCGAACGGAAAGGCCCUGCUUUUGUGGGGUGCUCGAGUGGCGAACGGGUGAGUAACACGUGAGUAACCUGCCCUUGACUAUGGGAUAACUUCAGGAAACUGGGGCUAAUACCGGAUAGGAGCUCCUGCUGCAUGGUGGGGGUUGGAAAGUUUCGGCGGUUGGGGAUGGACUCGCGGCUUAUCAGCUUGUUGGUGGGGUAGUGGCUUACCAAGGCUUUGACGGGUAGCCGGCCUGAGAGGGUGACCGGCCACAUUGGGACUGAGAUACGGCCCAGACUCCUACGGGAGGCAGCAGUGGGGAAUAUUGCACAAUGGGCGGAAGCCUGAUGCAGCAACGCCGCGUGCGGGAUGACGGCCUUCGGGUUGUAAACCGCUUUCGCCUGUGACGAAGCGUGAGUGACGGUAAUGGGUAAAGAAGCACCGGCUAACUACGUGCCAGCAGCCGCGGUGAUACGUAGGGUGCGAGCGUUGUCCGGAUUUAUUGGGCGUAAAGGGCUCGUAGGUGGUUGAUCGCGUCGGAAGUGUAAUCUUGGGGCUUAACCCUGAGCGUGCUUUCGAUACGGGUUGACUUGAGGAAGGUAGGGGAGAAUGGAAUUCCUGGUGGAGCGGUGGAAUGCGCAGAUAUCAGGAGGAACACCAGUGGCGAAGGCGGUUCUCUGGGCCUUUCCUGACGCUGAGGAGCGAAAGCGUGGGGAGCGAACAGGCUUAGAUACCCUGGUAGUCCACGCUGUAAACGGUGGGUACUAGGUGUGGGGUCCAUUCCACGGGUUCCGUGCCGUAGCUAACGCUUUAAGUACCCCGCCUGGGGAGUACGGCCGCAAGGCUAAAACUCAAAGGAAUUGACGGGGCCCCGCACAAGCGGCGGAGCAUGCGGAUUAAUUCGAUGCAACGCGUAGAACCUUACCUGGGUUUGACAUGGAUCGGGAGUGCUCAGAGAUGGGUGUGCCUCUUUUGGGGUCGGUUCACAGGUGGUGCAUGGCUGUCGUCAGCUCGUGUCGUGAGAUGUUGGGUUAAGUCCCGCAACGAGCGCAACCCUUGUUCACUGUUGCCAGCACGUUAUGGUGGGGACUCAGUGGAGACCGCCGGGGUCAACUCGGAGGAAGGUGGGGAUGACGUCAAGUCAUCAUGCCCCUUAUGUCCAGGGCUUCACGCAUGCUACAAUGGCUGGUACAGAGAGUGGCGAGCCUGUGAGGGUGAGCGAAUCUCGGAAAGCCGGUCUCAGUUCGGAUUGGGGUCUGCAACUCGACCUCAUGAAGUCGGAGUCGCUAGUAAUCGCAGAUCAGCAACGCUGCGGUGAAUACGUUCCCGGGGCUUGUACACACCGCCCGUCAAGUCAUGAAAGUUGGUAACACCCGAAGCCGGUGGCCUAACCGUUGUGGGGGAGCCGUCGAAGGUGGGACUGGUGAUUAGGACU
rnacentral:rRNA from 1 species